rnacentral:rRNA from 1 species
UGGGGAAUAUUGCACAAUGGGCGCAAGCCUGAUGCAGCCAUGCCGCGUGUAUGAAGAAGGCCUUCGGGUUGUAAAGUACUUUCAGCGGGGAGGAAGGCGAUAAGGUUAAUAACCUUGUCGAUUGACGUUACCCGCAGAAGAAGCACCGGCUAACUCCGUGCCAGCAGCCGCGGUAAUACGGAGGGUGCAAGCGUUAAUCGGAAUUACUGGGCGCAAAGCGCACGCAGGCGGUCUGUCAAGUCGGAUGUGAAAUCCCCGGGCUCAACCUGGGAACUGCAUUCGAAACUGGCAGGCUAGAGUCUUGUAGAGGGGGGUAGAAUUCCAGGUGUAGCGGUGAAAUGCGUAGAGAUCUGGAGGAAUACCGGUGGCGAAGGCGGCCCCCUGGACAAAGACUGACGCUCAGGUGCGAAAGCGUGGGGAGCAAACA